CCUACGGGGGGCAGCAGUGAGGAAUAUUGGUCAAUGGCCGAGAGGCUGAACCAGCCAAGUCGCGUGAGGGAAGACGGCCCUACGGGUUGUAAACCUCUUUUGUCGGGGAGCAAAGCGAACCACGUGUGGUUCAUUGAGAGUACCCGAAGAAAAAGCCUCGGCUAACUACGUGCCAGCAGCCGCGGUAAUACGUAGGAGGCAAGCGUUAUCCGGAAUGACUGGGCGUAAAGGGUGCGUAGAUGGUUUGGCAAGUUGGUAGCGUAAUCCCGGGGCUCAACCUCGGUGCUACUACCAAAACUGUUGAACUUGAGUGCAGGAGGGGUGAAUGGAAUUCCCAGUGUAGCGGUGGAAUGCGUAGAUAUUGGGAAGAACACCAGCGGCGAAGGCGAUUCACUGGACUGUAACUGACACUGAGGCACGAAAGCGUGGGGAGCAAACAGGAUUAGAUACCCUUGUAGUC
rnacentral:rRNA from 1 species